UGCAUUUCAUGGGUACACAGAGAAGUUACCAUUGAUUAAUGAUGAAGUCCCACAGCCUGUUUGGAUUUCCCAGUGGAUUCCCAGUUCUGUUGGGGACGCAAAGCCCUAACAUGGCAGAAUCAAGCAGCCGUGGGCCGGGAUGACCAAGGGCCCUGAACCCCGAUUCAGGGAGCUGUGCUCAGGAAAGGGGAGAG
rnacentral:lncRNA from 1 species